CAGUCGCCACGGUAAUACGGAGGGGGCUAGCGUUGUUCGGAAUUACUGGGCGUAAAGCGCACGUAGGCGGCUUGGUAAGUUAGAGGUGAAAGCCCGGAGCUCAACUCCGGAAUUGCCUUUAAGACUGCCGAGCUAGUAGGUGAGAGAGGUAAGUGGAAUUCCGAGUGUAGAGGUGAAAUUCGUAGAUAUUCGGAAGAACACCAGUGGCGAAGGCGGCUUACUGGCUCAUUCUAGACGCUGAGGUGCGAAAGCGUGGGGAGCAAACAGGAUUAGAUACCCCCGUAGUCCCUGUCUCUUAUAC
rnacentral:rRNA from 1 species